AAACGUGGUCUCAGAAGUUGGGUAUCCCCCAUGCCCCUGCCAAAAGCACUCCAGAUGACAAAAAUCCACCACAAAGCUCUUUUUUAAAAAGAAAGAUUCUGAGAAGUUCCAUCAAAAGAAGAAAAGAAGAAAUGAAGGGAGGGCACUGUAGGGACAGUGUCUUGAUGUCAUAGUUAGAUCUUGGACUUUGAAGGCAAACUAGUGGGUUUGACUCUUGGCCGCAUGGUUAAUCACCUGUGACCUUGGGCAAGUCACCAGAAUCCUCCCUGUGUCAGUUUCCUCAUCUGCAAAGUGGAAUAAUGCCUUAAACAAGGAGGACCUUGUUUCUAUCUAUGAAGCAUGGCGAACAGUGCCUGGAAAAUAGGAUGGUGCCUUGAGUGAAUGACCCCAAGUUCUCCCCCUUGGAGAACAUUCUUCUGCAUCCCUCGCCUCAAGCCAGCCUCAGACAGAAAACUGAAGAUUCAGCAGAUCCAGUGCUUCCUGCUCCUCUUCUACUCAGGAACACGCUUGCCUUCCCC
rnacentral:sRNA from 1 species